AGAACGGCAAGAGACGCUGGGAACACAAGAGGACAGGAUUUACACCUUUCCAUUUGGCUAACUUUGCCUAGUUUGGCAGAAGAAAACUCUUUGGCGGUCCUGGUUUUAAGAAAUCUGCAAACUAAGAGAGGGCCAAGGGAAGGUGAAGGUGCUGUUGUAUCCCACCAGGAGGAUUCAAGGCUCCAGGGUGAGGGGUGUGAGGAGAGGAAGCCCCUGCUGCCUCCCAGUGAGUCAAUGCCCAUGGAUGCUGCUGUCCUGGUGCUCCUCCAACAGCUCUUCCAGCAGGGGACUGGCCCUGCUGCUGCCCCUCUUCAACUUGGAGGAAAUGUUUGCCAGUGACUCAGGGAACAGGGGCUGGAGCUUUAGAGAUAAACUCUUUUUUUCACAGGCAGAUGAGUGGGAAGUGUUUCCAGUAAAUGUGCGUGCGUGCAGUUGUCCUGCUACUGGAGAGGUCAGAAAUAUUCCUUAUAAUGGCCUUUAAAGUAAAAUGGAAGGAAAUUUGAAGCAGUAUUGACCAAAAACUAAAAUUGCAUAAUUUGAAAAAUGCCAGGAUAUUUUAUUUGUUUGGCAUUUUCACCUCUCUUUUGUGUUGGGUUUUUUUAUACUACACUCAUGAAACCAAUAGAAAAUAAUGAAGCAUAUAACUGAAUCCAUAUUACAGAAUGCAGAAGGUUUCUGAUAACACAUACCUAUGCCUGGUUGUUAUAAUUUCUCAAUUAGAAGAACCAAAAAAGUUGGCAAGGUAGAUUAUAGUUGAGCAAUUUGUAGGAUUUUUUUUUUCUUUAAUUCCUCCACUCACAGAUAGACAUUGGUAGGAUCCCAAUGAACUGAGAUAAACAUAAUUAUAUUCCAGAAAUAAUUCUUAUUGCCUGUCUUAAAAUUACUACUAGUGUUUUCUCUCUAUAAUGAAAUAGAGGUGUUGUACAGACUCAGUUUUGUUUUUUUUUUUCACGGUGGUAUUGAACUUGCUGUUUGCUCAGAUUAAAACAUAUCAAUGGUAUGUGCAAUAAAAAUUGAUUUUCGAGA